rnacentral:rRNA from 1 species
UACGGAGGGGGCUAGCGUUGUUCGGAAUUACUGGGCGUAAAGCGCGCGUAGGCGGCUUUGUAAGUUAGAGGUGAAAGCCCGGAGCUCAACUCCGGAAUUGCCUUUAAGACUGCAUCGCUAGAAUCAUGGAGAGGUUAGUGGAAUUCCGAGUGUAGAGGUGAAAUUCGUAGAUAUUCGGAAGAACACCAGUGGCGAAGGCGGCUCACUGGACUGGUAUUGACGCUGAGGUGCGAAAGCGUGGGGAGCAAACAGG